GGGAUUGUGGCUCAGCGGUAGAGCACUCGCCUAGCACGGGCGGGUCCAGAGUUCCAUCCUCAGCCUGGGUUCCA
rnacentral:tRNA from 1 species